rnacentral:lncRNA from 1 species
GCUAGCCAGAAGGAGCAUGAUGUGAUUUAGUUCUGUUUGAUGAUUCUGCCUUGGUAAAUGUCAAAAGCAAGGAGCAGAGUAUUAAUAAUAAUUUGCAUCCAGCAUAGUAAAAGUGACUGUCUGAAGAGAACAUCGCAGAGAGCAGAAGACCACAAGGUUCCCCAGAAUCUCUUGACUUCUAGCAGACACAACCCGAGUGGCAGAUAUUCAUAGAGGUGGUAUGAAACAACAGGAAGAAGAGGAAGGAGGAAGAGGAAGGAGGAAGGAGAAAGGAGGAAAAGAAGAAACAACACUUUUAAAAUGCAGGGAAGGUCAACUUGACUAUCAAGAGACAAAAUCUGAUAUGCACUCUUUGCUAAUAUACAAUGGACAGAUGCCAAAUGAGGACUGAUAUAUCCAUGCCAAUUGUCCACGUGGAUCAGCAGUCUAUAGAAUAAAUGAUACUAACAUAAAAUUAUUCUGAAUGAC